GNUGUUGGGAUUUUGCAACGAAAGCUUCAAAUCAAAAUUUUAUUAUAAAUUCGUCUUGUCAACAAAAAGUUAUUACUAGCACAGCCACGAAAGUGAGAAAAAAAUUAAAUAGAAAAUAAAAUUCACUAAUUAAGAAAAAAUUAUAUCUGACUUCUCUUCUACAAUAAAGUAGUUUCAAUUCGAACUCUUUUUCUGAAUCUCUCACUUUUUUUUUGUUUUUUAUAAAUCUAAAAAACUUCUCUUUUUUUUUCUCAAUGCGCUCAUGUACUAGAUGGACCCAACCAUGGCAAACUCUCUCCCUCUCCCUGGUAUGAUACUAACAAUUAAUAAGAGUUUACCGACCGUCCCUAAAGUGGCAAAGAGCUUGGUAGUUGGUACCCGAGGUCCCAAGUUCGAAUUCUAGUUGAUUCACAUUUCUAGCUAAGUUUAUUUCUAAAUAAAAUAAUAGAAGCGGGUAGCGUGAGUUUCAACUUUUGACCGUACCCUCCUCUGGAUACUUUCUACAAAUUUGCAUAUUACAGAGAGCUAGAUAAAAAAAACCGGUUGUCUUUAGUACAAAUGGCAAAGGGCAUGAUAGUUGGUACACGAUGACCCAAGUUUGAAACCUAAUUACUUCACAUUUUCAGGUAAGUUUAUUUCUAAAAAAAUUUCUCUCUCAAAAAAAAAAAAAAUAGAGCUACCUAUAUAUAAAACUCUACUAAAACGUACCCCAAUUUUUGUAUUAUUAGGAUUCCUAUUCUAAUCAACAUUUAAAUUCAUAUGUAAUUUAUCUUCAAUAAAUUUAAAUAUUUAUUCUAAUUUAUUUCAGAUUCUGAAACAAAUCUAAUCAAAUCCAAACACUAAUUUUUCGUAUUUGUCAAACCAC
rnacentral:lncRNA from 1 species